CGUGCUUUUCUUCUCUCUCGACAUUAUUGGUUGGAGAAUAUCAGUUUUCCCUUCGGGGGAGAACAAAUGAACUGUUUGGUUAUGUGGGAUGGGAGGAGUAGGGAGAAAGAGAGUCACAGUCUUCUACAAGCAGUCAGUGAUCCAGCCAUUGCGCAUCCCCUUCUUUGUCAGGUGUUCGAUCAUAUUCGGUUAUGGAAAGAUGUGAAAAGAUUUUCAUAACUUGAAAGUGAAAUGGACGGUUAUGUUAUGGCAUUCAGUGCUUGAAAGGGGGGAAAUAGUGGCGCUAUAGUAACAGCUAUUGGAUAAGGGAAUUUUCCAAUUGUUAAGUGUGCGGGUGCGUGCACAAACAAUGGAUGAAAGGUCUCUUUACUAAACAAAAGUAGGCUUGGAAUCAAUAUUUAGUAAAGUUGGAGAUGCCCUUAGAGAAAAUGUGGGAAUUAUUGUCUUAUAUGGCAUGGGAGGAAUAGGUAAAAGUAAACAAAUAAGUACUUGUGGGAAUUAUUGGCUUAUACGACAUGGAGGAACAGGUAAGUACUUGUGGGAAUUAUCUGCUUAUAUGGCAUAGGAGGAACGGGUAAAACUAAACAAAUAAGUACUUGCAGGAAUUAUUAGCUUACAUGGGAUGGGAGGAAUUGGUAAAAAUAAACAAGUACUUGUGGGAAUUAUUGGCUUAUAUGGCAUGGGAGGAGUAGGGAAAAAUAAACAAAUAAGUAUGUUCAAUGUUUUGUGGAAGAAAAAAAGUCUUGAUCGAGAAAGCAACAAACAUCUUCAAGAUUUUAAGCAAGAAGUUUGUGUUAUUAUUUGAUUUUUGUGGGAGGAGAGUGAUCCUCUAAACUCUUAUCUCAAAACUCCAAUUCUUUCACUAACAUCUAUGUGGAAGCACUGCCCUUUCCACAAUUAAAGGAACUAAAAGUGGCGAUACCCCUAAAGCUUAAGAAGCUUCCUCUUAAUUCCAAAAGUGCAGAGCUGCAGUGGGAGGAUGAAGCCACUUAUAAUGUUUUUCUUCCAUGUUUUGAAUCUACUGAUUCAUGAUUAAAGGACAUUAAAAUAACACUGAUUCUUGUAUGUGGAGUUUGCAUUCCUUGUGUCAGGAAUAAUUCCUAGUUGCUUGACAAAUUCUCUCCUACAUCUGAUAUUCAAAGGGUUACACCACUGGAAAAGCAGCAACCUCCAAUGCGGACCUGGUGUAGGAGACUACGAAGUGGCAUUUCAGACCAUGCUUGCGGACACCCAGGGCAGUGCCAGAACAAUGCGGCCUAAGCUGGUCGGAGAAAUUGGUCUACAACACCAACGCUGGAACAAAUUUGUUACUUUUUUUAUAAUUUAGGUUAAUUGAGAUAUCUGAAAAUUGCUUUUUAUUUUUAUUU